rnacentral:misc_RNA from 1 species
GAUGAAGAACGUAGCGAAAUGCGAUACUUGGUGUGAAUUGCAGAAUCCCGUGAACCAUCGAGUCUUUGAACGCAAGUUGCGCCCGAAGCCACUAGGUCGAGGGCACGCCUGCCUGGGCGUCACACGCCGUUGCCCCCCCAUCUACUCCUUCGGGAUUGCGGGGGGGCGGAUGAUGGCCUCCUGUGCGCCUAGCCGCGCGGUUGGCAUAAAUACCAAGUCCUCGGCGACGCACGCCACGACAAUCGGUGGUUGCGAAACCUCGGUUGCCCGUCGUGUGCGUUCGUCGCGCAUCGAGGGCUCGAAAAAAUGCUCGGCUCCGGCUGGGCUUUCAACGCGACCCCAGGUCAGGCGGGGUUACCCGCUGAAUUUAAGCAUAUCAAUAAGCGGAGGA